UGAACAGUUUCAUUUUAGAGAAACUUUAUUUGUCUCUGACAUCCUUUUUAGGGCUAUUCGUAUUUAUAAGGCAUCAUGGCUAUUUAAAUUUGGCAUUAUAUACUCUUUCAUAUUUAAUUUAUAAGUGAAAAAAAUGGUUCACUUAUAAAAUAAAAUACAAAUGUAAUAUAUUGCUAUUUUAAGACUUUAUUGCAAAAAAAACCCAAAAAACUUUGGCAAUUUUGUUUCACCAGAUGGUUUGGUAUCCGUACCAUAUUUUGGUUCUGUAUCGAUAUGGAGGUAUGGAAGAGCGCUUUGAUACGUGACCAGCCGUCUUUGUUAUAUACAAAACCGUCUCCGACGUCUAAAACUCAACUCAGGCAUCACUAGAAUCCAUGUAACUCUUUUGAUUAUAUAUAAAUUUUUCUGAAAUGCCACUCAUUAGCUAAUUAAUUAUUGUGAUAUAGAGCGGCAAAAUAAAUUACGAGACGUAGUCAACUGUCCUUCAAACUAGAAUAUAUUCAUAUCUAGAUAAAUAUACAGUUAUUUUUCAUUCUA
rnacentral:lncRNA from 1 species